rnacentral:rRNA from 1 species
UGGGGAAUAUUGCACAAUGGGCGAAAGCCUGAUGCAGCAACGCCGCGUGCGGGAAGAAGGCCCUCGGGUUGUAAACCGCUUUCAGAAGGAACGAAACUGACGGUACUUUCAGAAGAAGGUGCGGCCAACUACGUGCCAGCAGCCGCGGUGACACGUAGGCACCAAACGUUGUCCGGAUUUAUUGGGCGUAAAGAGCUCGUAGGCGGUUCAGUAAGUCGGGUGUGAAAACUUUGGGCUUAACCCAAAGCGUGCAUCCGAUACUGCUGUGACUUGAGUAUGGUAGGGGAGCGGGGAAUUCCUAGUGUAGCGGUGAAAUGCGCAGAUAUUAGGAGGAACACCGGUGGCGAAGGCGCUGCUCUGGGCCGAAACUGACGCUGAGGAGCGAAAGCAUGGGUAGCAAACAGGAUUAGAUACCCCCGUAGUCCCUGAGCGGGCUGGCAAGGCGCAU